rnacentral:lncRNA from 1 species
UCUACAUGGAUGCAAAUACCUAAAAGUAGAGCUAGGUACCGUCUUGUACACGCCAACGUCAACCCCCCGCAUGAGUCGGGUCACAAGACAAGAACAAUCCUUUCAUGUUGGUCAAUUGUCCAAUCAACACCGCCUUUUUGUCGGAGUAUUCGCUACAUCUUCGUCGUGUCGAUAGCAUUAUUGUCCGGAUCCGUAUGUCGGCUAGUAACGAAAAAAGAUUGAUGGUCGCAUGAUACUGUAGAGUUUGGCAGGUAUUCUACAUGUUAGGAUUUGAACUCCAAACAACGUGUGAGCAGAGCCAAGUGUCGGGUUAAUAUCAUCUUGAUACCGUGCUCCGUCUGUAUGCAGAUGACUUGCUUACUUGGAAAGAGAUCUAUAUUCGAUACCUAACUAUCAUUUCACCGCAAAACACACUGACCUCUAAAAUGAUUUGUGACCAGUCUGUCUGCCUUUCCUAAGAGAGCUAGCACGUGGUUUGUGCUCCAACGCGAUGGUGGUCGAUAGUUAAUUACUGGGCGUAUUUUCAUGAUUAGAUAUCCUCAAGUGGCAAGACAACCUGUAGUGUAAUCUUCCUCGCAACGGACGAUACCUUACAAAUUUCCUUUUCAAUCGACAAUUUACGUUCGACAGUACUCCAUCGUAGACUCCAUAUGUAACCCUAGAAACUCCAGCACCUUGAAAAGAUGAAACCAAUGCAAUCAGUCAGUGGGGCUGACCUUCA